rnacentral:lncRNA from 1 species
CAGGACAGGAAGAAGCAGCUGAUGGUGCUGACAGACUGCUUACAGGGGGGCAGCAGCCUGCGGGACGGCUCCCUGGAGCUCAUGGUGAGUGGGCGUAGGGGAGCUCCAGCCACGGUAGAGUCCUCCCACCAAGUCCCUCAGGACUUUGGACAAGGAUACUGCUGGACUCUCACCCUCUCUUGGCCACUCCCCCCAGGUGCACCGAAGGCUGCUGAAAGAUGACAGACGUGGCCUGGGGGAGGCGCGGCUAGAGGAGAAGUUGGGGUCGUGGGUGCGGGGGCGCCACCUCGUGCUGCUGGACGCGGUGGGCACGGUGGCCGCAGGGCACUGGCAGCUGGCAGAGAAGGAGGUCCUGGCGCCACAGGUGGUGCUGGCGCCGGGGGUGGUGCCCGGUACAAUCCUAGAGCUGCCGUGUGCACACAGGUGAGGGCCAGUGAGAUGAGCAGGUUGCUUGGGUGCCACCCCACUGGACCUUAAAAGCUAGGUACAGCCCGAGCUCCCGCCCCUUCACCUCCUGCUUGUCUUCGUCCGGCCCCAUCUCUCUUCACCCAGGUCCUGUUGCCCGCCUAGCUGUCCCCUUAUUUUACUCAUCUGGCCCCACCCCUUCACCCCUGUGGUUCCAGCUUCUGGCCUGUUCACUUCCGGGCUUGCACCUGUACUGUACAAUUUUGGAUCAUCCUAUUCCCCUCCUUGGCUCAGUUCUCCAGGAUUUUUCCCACUCUUUUCAGCUGUGCCCCGCCCCUCCUCCACAAGCCCUGCCCCUCUCUGACUCAGCCCCGCCUCCGUCUCCCUGCAGUUCUCAGGGCUGCGCCAGGAGCUCCCGCCCUCCAUGCACCUGCUCACCCUGGCCCGCUGGGGCCUAGGGACGCUGCUGCUGCGCUUGGAGCACCAGUUCGCCAGUGGGGAGGACUUGGGCUGGAACUUGAGUUCCCCCGUGACCUUGGAUUUACAGAACCUUUUCUCCACCUGCACUAUCACCUGCCUGCAGGAGACCAUGCCGGCCACCAACCAGCCCCAGGCCAGUGCCUCCAGGCUCAAGUGGACACUAAAUACCAGUGGGCACCUAGCGUGGGAGGGGUGGGCUCCUGCCUGGGGCUGGUAGCUGGGGCGAUGUAUGAGGCGUGGGAAUGUGGGCCAGGAUCCAGUAUAGAACUUGAAGAACCUGGGCAGAUCCAGGCUCGGGGCUUCAGAGUCCCAAGUGGGUUCAGCCCAUGA